rnacentral:rRNA from 1 species
UUACGGGAGGCAGCAGUGGGGAAUAUUGCACAAUGGGGGAAACCCUGAUGCAGCAACGCCGCGUGAGUGAUGAAGGUCUUCGGAUUGUAAAGCUCUGUCUUUUGGGACGAUAAUGACGGUACCAAAGGAGGAAGCCACGGCUAACUACGUGCCAGCAGCCGCGGUAAUACGUAGGUGGCAAGCGUUGUCCGGAUUUACUGGGCGUAAAGGGUGCGUAGGCGGAUAUUUAAGUGAGAUGUGAAAUCCCCGAGCUUAACUUGGGUACUGCAUUUCAAACUGGAUAUCUAGAGUGCAGGAGAGGAGAAUGGAAUUCCUAGUGUAGCGGUGAAAUGCGUAGAGAUUAGGAAGAACACCAGUGGCGAAGGCGAUUCUCUGGACUGUAACUGACGCUGAGGCACGAAAGCGUGGGUAGCAAACAGGAUUAGAUACCCUGGU